AUGGCUGGCAAGCAGGCCAUUUCAGCAUCAGGCAAGUGGCUGGAUCAUAUUCAAAAAUGGUAUUACAAUGCUGCAGGAUUCAAUAACCUGAGGUUAAUGUGAGAUGAUACAAUAUAUGACGAUGAAGACGUAAAACAAGCCAUAAGAAGGCUUCCUGAGAACCUUUAUAAUGACAGGAUGUUUCACAUUAAGAGGGCACUGGACCUGACCAUGAAGCAUCAGAUCUUGCCUAAAGAGCAGUGGACCAAAUAUGAAGAGGAAAAUGUCUACCUUGAACUGUAUCUGAAAGAGGUUAUUCGGGAAAGAAAAGAAAGAGAAGAAUGGGCAAAGAAGUAAUCAAGUAGUUGAAGUCUGUGGAUGCAGCUGUUAUGAAGAUGGUUAAACCUGAAACAAACAAUGUUAAGAAUUAUUUGGUCUGUAGAUGUUUUACUUUAAAUAAAUGUCUAUUGUAAUGGCUGG